rnacentral:rRNA from 1 species
UACGGGGGGGAGCAAGCGUUGUUCGGAUUUACUGGGCGUAAAGGGCGCGUAGGCGGCGCAACAAGUCACUUGUGAAAUCUCCGGGCUUAACCCGGAGCGGUCAAGUGAUACUGUCGUGCUAGAGUGCGGAAGGGGCUACUGGAAUUCUCGGUGUAGCGGUGAAAUGCGUAGAUAUCGAGAGGAACACCUGCGGCGAAGGCGGGUAGCUGGGCCGACACUGACGCUGAUGCGCGAAAGCCAGGGGAGCGAACGGGG